GGCCUAAGUCUGGAUGUGUCACUCCCUCCGACUGGUCACCGCUUGCUCCUGAGUGACUCCUAUAUAUGGAAAAGUGAAAGUGCCUGAAUAAUCAUGUGAGAAAAUUGGAGGAGUCCAUUUCCUGGGAGGGGGUUCUUCCUACCUUGAAGUAUUCCAGUCCUCGGCUCGGACGUCCCGAGCCCUCGUGUCCGGUCAAUGCAUGGUAAAGAGGGCUGCAUAGACUCCGCAAAACUCAAGCUCCCUUUGGGACUCUGCUUCAGCUCUGCAGCUAAUCUCCAUGUUGCUCCAAGCUGCACCCGCAGGCAGUGGAACGGUAGAGAACCGAGAUCACAGACAGUGAGAAGGGGUGGAGAAACCCGUUCCCACUAGAAAGCAAUAGAACACAAGCAUCCAGAAGAAGCGCGUGCACCAAAUACUCGACUGUGGGAAGCAAAAGUAGAUAGAUGUCAACUGGCAGCACACAGAAGUGCAGCACGUGGGAGCACGGCCCUCUGGUUCCCCCGAGCGAACCCACCUUGGGGCAGGCUUCCUAAUGGCUUGGCUCCUGCUUCCUCAUCUGUAAAGCAGGCUAAACGAUUGCCCACCCCACAGCAUCACUGUGAGCAACAGACGUGGUCAUUCAGGUGGGAUGAGGAUGGAGCACUGGGGAUGCGCAAUAAGGUUUUAAUAAAAUUUUACCUAAGC